GGGCAGAUGAGAGUACACACUAGAGAUAAUGGCAGUAAACCCAUGCAGAAUUGAACGCCUCCCAAGAGAUCUCUGCAUAUACCAGCAUCUGCUCCCCAGCCACAUCUAUGACAAAAAGAAAUGACAGUGGAAGCCAAGUACUGAAUUGGAAGUUGGCAACAGAAGCUCAGGCUGCAUUCACCUGACUGACAUACUGAACCUCAGUUCCAAACCAGUCUCCUCUCUUUGUAGGUGAUAAGAUGGUGCAAUUCUCUACAGACCAUUGAGGGAUGCUGAAAAUGCCCCAACAUUUUACAGGCCAUGGAGAGAUCUCAUGUACAGACUUGUUCUGAACCACAAAGUUUAUUUUUUGGGAAAAGCACAGAAUGUGUUUAAAAUUGCCCACUAGAAUUGCAUGGACAAUGUUGCCUUCUUUUAUCAGAUAUGAGAAACCCAGAGGAGAGUAAUAGUAGGGUCAGCCAUUUGAUUAUAACAUUACAAAGGUUAUGCAACAGGUUUACACAAGUAUGUGUGAAGCCAUCAAUACAUAAAGCUGCUUGGCGUUGUGGACUAGCACUACUGUGCUUACAGAAUGAGUAUGAUGAUGAACAUGAUGAUCAUGAUGAUACUUUUGGUGCUGCUACUGAUGGCAAUGCAGUGGACCUGUCAUGGACCUGUAGUAUUUUUUUUUUUUUUUUGACCAGUGUCUCUUGUCCACACAUUCAUAGUUAGGUGGAUAGUGGGCAUAAUAUUAUUUUUAAGGGAAGAAAUUACUUUGGCUUUGACUUCUCUGUAUAGCUUUGGCAUUGCUGUUUCAGAGAGAUGGAAAAGACAUGGAAUUUGGUGGCAUGGGAACAUGACCUCUACCAAUCAGCUGAAUCCUGUUGUGUUCAUUGCAGAUAUUGGGUGAAGAUCAAGUGCCAACAUAGCUGUUAUGGCUUUGGUGAAUGGGUUGAUGGCUGUCAUA